rnacentral:tRNA from 1 species
AGCUCAGCUGGUAGAGCAACUGACUUUUAAUCAGUGGGUCGCAGGUUCGAAUCCUGCACG